rnacentral:lncRNA from 1 species
UCUUUACUGACAGCCACCUCUCCAUCUCUAACAUCUUAACAUUUUCUUUUGUCUCAGACUUUCAGUAGGUGGAAUGUGGAGAGAGUCAGAAGAGCUGAACAGAAUCUGGAGCCUGCUCCAAUGCAGCCUUGGUGAGGAGAGAGCCCUGGGUGAAGCUAAACCAGCUGUGUAGCUCACAGGAUUCGGGAUGAGACCAGACUUUUUCAACCAGGCAGUGGUGGCGCACGCCUUUAAUCCCAACACUAGGGAGGCAGAGGCAGAUAGAUCUCUGAGUUUGAGGCCAGCCUGGUGCACAGAGUGGAUUCCAGGACAACCAGGGCUACAUAGAGAAACCCUGUCUUAAAAAAACAAAACAAAACAAAACAGCCCAACAAUAACAAAAAAGAGCCCCUUUUCCAAAGGUGGCAUCUGAGUUGCAAUAACAGAGCCAGCAAGAGCCCCGUGUGUCUGCACAGCAUGUCAGCAGAACAAAAAGAUGCAGCAGAUGCAAGAAUUUAAAACCAUGGAUACCCAGGAGACACAUAAGCAAGCCUUGCUCCACCCCUGGAGUGGUUCCAAGGACAGUUGGGUGUCUCCUGGCCUGGAGGUCAAGAUCCAAACCCAUAUCAUUUGAAUCUCCUAAAAUAAGAUGACCCCAUCCAACCUGGAGACUAUAAGCACUUAAAAAAUAAUCAUUUGUCUGAGGCCUCUCCUAAGAACCACAGUUGUUUUAUCUGGCCACAACAUUUAGUUCUAGCUUCUGAGUGGGUGGCAGGGCUGCAGUCUUAGGAACAGAGGUGCACAGGGAGCAGACUACGGCAGGUCUGGGGUGCCCAAUAGAAGCAGGUGACUGUGGUGGACAUGGGCAGCCAAGUACAAUCUAGCUCAGAACAAAAGAUCGCAUGAUCUUUCUCAAGGGCCAGCCACUGCCACCCCACACUCCUCACUUUUCUCACGUACAUGGAAAUGGGCACAUUGCUUGGCACAGGUAUUGUAGGGUAGACCCAAGAAGUGGAAUUUCUUUGUCAGAGGAUCUAUGCGUUUUUAAGUUCUGCCCUUCAGAAAGGGUGUGUGACUCACAUGCCCCUCCAUGAUGGACAUAUAAAGGUCCCUGUUUCUGGCAGCCUUUCCCUCCUGCAUAGAUGUAAUAUUCUUAGGAGGUAAGUAGACUCUAAGAGUGGGCCUGGGUGGCUGGGUGGUCAUGGCUGCUAAGGGGAUCCAUGUGGCUUUCUGAGGAGACCAGCCACUCAGCAGUCUUAGGAGUUUAGGUUAUGUAAACAAAGGCAGAGUUGGAGGAGAGCCAGAAAAUUAUUCCAGUGAGUGGCAUUGUGCCAGCCAGUAUUUAUUUCUUUAGCGUGGUUACGACUUAAAUAUGGUCAAAACAUAUUCUUCUUUUUAAUUUUACACAAACAAAUAUGUUACCAGGCUGACACCUCUGAUGCCAAGUUUCUAAGGGAAACAAAAUUCUACUACAAACCAGUUAAGCAGCAAAGAGCCAGUGAGGAUGGAGCACUACAGAGAGGAGGGUGGAGCAUCACAGAGAGGAAGGUGGCCCCACCUAGCCUGUGCUGCCCAGCACUGGCUCCCUGUACACAAGACAGUGGGAUAUAUCAAAGCUAAGGAUGGAAAAGGUUUGGUUUUGCUCAAAGGAGUCCUCUAAGCUUGAUACCCUCCCCUCUGCUUAUCAAGAGAUGGCAAAGACGCUUCUAGAGCGAGGCUGAAGGGAACAGGGGCUCCAGUCAAUUUUCUUCCUCUCAGGGUCAUGUUCAUAUGACAAUCAGACAGCUUCAGAUGCUUCCAAACAGAAGAUUAAGCAACAAAUUAUUUGGAGUGAUUGCUUAAUUGAUUGAGUGGCCACCAGACCUGCAAUGAAGUAAAGGUCUUGUAGCCCGCUGCCGUCACUACUCUGUAAUGAAGGAUAUUUUCUACAAGUUUCUCUGGAAUGGCUUGGAAUUUCAACUUUUGUAUGUGUGUCAAACUGAUGUUGGUUUUAUGGAGGGCUUGUGUGCCGCCGGCCUUUUAUAUACAUGAUCUAAUCCACCCAAUUUUCUACUAAAAUAAUUUCUCCUUAGUCUCUGUUUUACAGAUGUGAAGGCAGACAUAAUAAGUGAGGGAUUUUCUAGAAAGGGGCUGUCCACAGUGGUAGUUGCUAGCCACAUGUGGUGAUUCAUGUCGAAAUUAGGUACAAUUAACUACAUUUAGCCAAGUGUGGUGCUGCAUGCCGUAUCCAAACAUCUGGGAAGCUGAGGCAAGAGGAAUGAGAAUUUAAACCAGCCUGGACUACAGAGUGGGGGUCUCCUGGCACUGGUCCAGAUGCUCAGGGCUCCUGAGUGGUCCGGGGGCUUCCACAGUGGGCCUCACAAAUCUUGACCCCUGUGAUAGGCAGAGAACAUUCUGGAGUACAGGCCCAGAGACUCAUGGCUGGUAAUGAACAUGGCCUGCACAUAGGUCAGAUGGCUGAGCUGGCCCAGUCUCUCCCUCCUCUGCUGUAAGACCACAGCAGAGUCUCAUGUAGACCAGACUGGCCACAAACACACUCUGUAAAGUAGAUUGACUUUGAUUGACCUUCUCUCUGUAUGUGUGUCGACACAUAUGUGUGUGUGCAUGUACACUGGUAUGUGCAUGCAGAGGCCUAAGGAUGAUGUCUGCUGUCCAUCUUAUUAUGUACAGAGAGGAAUCUCUCUCUCUCCUGGUCUGGCUGCCUGGCUUGUCCUGGGGAAUCCCCUGACUGUGCCUCCCAAGUGCAGGGAUUACAGGUGCCCUGCCUGGCUUUUCCAUGGGUUCUGAGAACCAACACUUAGACCUUUGUGCUUUGCAGCAAACAUUUUACAGACUGGGCCUUCCGUCUCACCAGUCCCAACUUUGAGCUUCCGCACCCCCACUUCCUAAGUGGGAUCUUAGGUAUGUACCCUCACAGUUCUGCUGUGUGCCUCUGGGGGUCAGAUCCAGGCUUCACACAUGCUACGCUCUCCACUAACUGACGCACACCCCAGCCCUACAUUGAAUGGUCUCCUUUGCAAACACAUGCUCCGUGUGCUCUGCUUUGCCAUCUAAUGAACCAGGGCGUUGAGACAUGGACCAGCAGCUGCUGGGAUUCUGGGGCGUGUGAAACCACCCUUGGAAAGUAGUCCUACUAAAAUAAAAAUGACCCAAAUCCAAAUCUGAGUGCCACCUUUAUGGGGUCAAAAUAAACAAAGCCCAGACUCCAGUUAACCAUAAGAUGGCCCAAAUUCUUCAAAAGUAUAAAUGGGAGCAGACUUGUAUGUAGUUUGUGAGAGAAGGAGGCAGCAUGACUUGUAACGGUUAAGGCUUCUCUGAUCCUGAUUUCAUCCAGCUGGGAAGAAAGCACCCAUGAGGCCCCAGGAACCUUGAAGGGGAGCCAUGGAUUCUCUAACAUUAAAGCAUCACUGUUCAUUUUAAAGGGUAAUGGGGGCAAAGCUUUUUUUUUCCCUGUUGGAGUCUGGUGUUUGUUUAUACUUGCCUCUGUAAUUCGCCUCAGGGUAGGCUGGAGGGUGUGUCUGCACAGAACGAGACUAUCAAAUUCAUCCUGUUACCCCACUCGCGUGCUUGCUUGAAGCUUUAACAACAGGAAGAGAAAGGGCUCAGUUGGUAAAGUGCUUGCUUGUUGCACAAGCAUCGUUUGGAUCCUCCACACUCGUGGGAAAAGCAUGUGCCUGUGACGCACUGCUUAGGCUGAGGCGGCAGGAGGCUCUCUGGGGCUCACUGGCCAUCCAGUCUAGCUGAAUCAGCAAACCCAUGUAAACUAAGGUAGUGAUUAAGGAAGAGACCCAACAGGUAACUCUGGCCUCCAGAAGCAUCUGCAUACCACACACAAGAAAAUGGAAAUUGUUCUUUUCCUGACCUCUCAAAGAUAUCAGAUUUGUUCCUGCAUUAGUCAGGGGUCUUUAGAGGAACGGGACUUAUAGAAUGAAUAUAUAUUCCAUAUAUGUAUGAAAUUUAUUCGAGUGGCUUACAGGCUGUGGUCCGGCUAGUCCAACAGUAGCUGCCUAUCAAGAAGUCCCAAUGGUUGUUCAGUCCACAAGUCUGGGUGCCUCAGUUGGUCUUCAGUAUACUCUGGAAUCCUGAGGAGCUAUGCCAGUGAAGGGAUGAACGUGCCCUCGAGAGCAAACAGACAAAAAGAGCAAUAAAGCUUCCUUCUUCCAUGUGUUUUAUAUAGGCGUGAAGCAGAAGAUGUGGCCCAGAUUAAAGGUGGAUCUUCACCCUCAAAGAUCCAGAUUAGAAGUCCUGGCUGGUGACAUGUGGAUGACACUCUAUAACUAUCAGAUGGUCCCACAAAUACCAACAUUGCUGCUCCAUCUGAAUCAAAUCCUCCAUACCCACAAGGGUUGUUUGUCCUCUUUUCUGCCUGAUGUCACAGCUGGGAUACCUUGAUGUCACAAAGUGGAAGAUGAAGAGGCAUAGUCUAACAUGUGGAAGAAAAUGUGAUGCUGGGGUCCAGUUUUUCUUGAGUGGUUGUGCAUUUCUAUCUGCUUUUCUUAGCUCUGUUCAUUUCCCUGCUCCAGUAUUCACUUGCUGUUGCCAGGGACCCAUGAGCCUCGGAGUUGAAGUCAAGAUAGCUCCCUGGCUCUGGAUUUUGCAGUAAUGAAUGCACCCACCAAGGUAAUAAUAAACUCGCAGUCUCAUUACUUGCCUGCUCACUAAUUCCCUUCGUGUUUCUCUGCCCCUUUCCUCAAAUGGAUUCCUGAGUUCUUCCAGAUUGCUGGUUGCUAAGCUAUCAAGUUCCAGGUUCUGAAACCUGGCUGCUCAUUGGUGGAGAGUUCCUGGGCUGUUCCAAUCAGGAGGCGGCAGAGAAAGGCAUUCAUUCACUCCAGGAGUUGGGAUUUUCUAGCAGUUGAUGUCAAGCGAAGGUCUUUGACUAGCACUACAGGAUUUGCUGUACUCUUAAGCUGACUGAGGAGGGUCACAGGUUCUAGAAUGUUCCCCCAGGAAGAUGAGGGGCCAUAGAUGGACAAUGUGACUUCCCACCCCGGGGCAGCAGAGAUACCCUCAAGAGAUCCCAGGAUUAAACUGCAAUGUCCACCUCACAGCUUGGUUAGUGAUGACAGCAGGAAGUUCAGGAAACUGAAUGACACUAAGCUUGGGGUGCUUGCAAUGAGGGCCUUAUUUGCAAAGGAGCUUGAACUCCUAAGCAUCCCCUAGUCCUUGAGCAGCUGGGACAAUAUAGGCUGCCACAGGUGGCUAUAAAGGACUAUAAAAUAUAUGAGUGGAAGAGCACUUACCUCAGCUCAGCUUCACCAGGAACGUCGUCUCCUCCCAUUCAGAAGGUGCCCUGGACUUGUGGAGACCAGGAGGGAUGGCUGUAGACUGUAGCUUCCUUCCUUCAGAAAGAAGGAAGCCAUGUGACCCAGACCUGGUUCUGAGACAGUCACAUGGCUAAGAUGAACCGAUUAGAAUUUUCUCUGCUACUUUUCUGCCAGAACUAUAGGAAAAGACCUCAUACACUGCACUGCUUGUGAACACAUGUGGAAGAUGUUUGAAAAAAUAGAAAUUCUCAAAAGAUACAGAGCCCCCGAGCUCCAGCUUAGGUUAAACCAGAUCCAUGUCCCACAUCUAAUAGAAAACACCAAGCUUGGUGUGUGCAUAUGCAUGUGUGUGUGUGUGUCUAAGAAGCAGGAACAUAUAUAGAUUCACUGCAUGGUACCCACCUAUAUGUCAGGUGAUUUGCAUACAGUCCCAUAUAGGGCCAUUAAGAUCAAUCUAGUACUCUAGUAUGUUACAGUAUUGCAGGCUGGGAACUGAGACUCCAAGGGGUACAGGUGCCUUGCCCAGAGGACAUUGUCUCGGUAUGCUCAAGGAUUCCAGUCUGUGCUAUCUAAAGCUUAACCAAUUCAACUCGUCCGAAAUGGUCUCUUCCAAACUGAUAGCCCUCAAGCCUGCCAUCUUUCCGUCUAGCAGACUCACUAGAAGCCAGGUCCCGUCAGAUCUCUUCUUGCCCCUCUGUACCCCCAUAUCUAAGCCUCACUGAGCUGGUCCAUCACCAUCCCUCUGUCCACCAUUUCUGUGCAGUUCUGUGGAAGAGUGCUUUCUCCUGCCCUCUCCCCAUGAUGCCUUGGCUGCUGUAAUUUCUCUCUUGGCCUUCUAGAACUAUCUCCCUCUUGUUUGCCCAUCCCUCAUGUCUAUACCUUCCUCCUCUCCAGGCUAUCUCUCCACGGCACCCACAAGGAUUGUCUCAAAUGCCAACCUGGGUGGUGGUGAUGUCAUAAUGUAAUGUCAUACGAGGCAUUCCCACCUUUGGGAACCUCCUGAGGAUUGGUCAGUCCCGGCUAGGGACACAGCUCUUAGACUUUGAGCUAGACAACCAGGAGGACAGGAGGACCUAGUAUCCUGCCUCCAUCAGCCCAUCAUUUAUGCAAAUGCUACUUAGUUGCCGUCUAGAUGCAGGAUGCUGUCUGCCCUGUUAAAUGCUGUGUGAACCCAGAUGGAAGCUGAGCAGACAUCACACUCGUGAGCAGCUCCCCUUCCUGUGAGCAUCUCCCCUUCCUGUGAGCAUCUCCCCUUCCUGUGAGCAUCUCACCUUCCAGAGUUAGGAGCUAAAUGAAAAUUUCUUUUUGAGUUACCUGACCUUGAGUACUUUGUUAUAACAGAAACCAGACAGAGGCAGGAUAAUGGUGUGAGUGUUGGCAGGCAGGGUACUCACCUGCAGAUGGAGGGAAGACAUGGAGGACAAGGCCUGGAGAAACUGUUAUACGUGGUCCAGGGUCCUAGAUAAGCUGGUGUGCUCUAAAAGCAGAGUUUAUGGGAACCAAGCCAG